CGUAUAUCCAUGUUGAAUCUUGCUUAAAUAAUUAGUGAAUAAAUUAAUUAUUAAUAAAGAAAAUUAGAAAUAUAGUUUUUAUAAUUUAAUAUAAUAGAGCUAAUUAAAACAAGAAUUUUGAUACUAAUUUUAAAAAAUUUAACUCAAAAUUAAGUCAAAACAGGCCUAACCCGUCAAACCGGGCCCAAAAUGGGCCCAAGGCCAACCCAAGCCAACAAUUAAUAAGAGUUUCAGAUGCUCACCCCUGUUUCAAAAUGAAACACGCUGGGAAUUGUUGAAGGAGAGCGAAGAACAUGCAAAAUUCUUGGUGGUGAUUCAAAUCCACGUAACUUUAAUCCGGAGUUUUGAUCGCUGCACUGUUUACGGCCAUGCAACUGCAGCGUCGAACUCUACAAAGCCCAAUCAUUAGUUAGUUCAAAUUAGCUUGUGGGUUUUGUUGGGUUUGACUCACUUGAGCUAUGAGCAAGAUUGAAUGUUGUUGGUAGAACAUCAAAUUGGAGGUCAAACUUGUGAAAUUAAAGCUUUGGAUCAAUUUCUGGAAGCUAGGUUUCAUUGAUGAGGGGCGGUGGUUGAUAGCUUGUGUUGCGGGGAACGCUUCAGGUGUUCCGAGUUUAUCGAAAAAUCGGCCAAUGUUGAGAAGCACCACUCUGUAUUCUGGAGAAUCUGAUGAAGCAAAGGACUCUUGGGACUCAGGGGCGUAUUUUGUUUAUAUAUGUAUAUAGAUUCUCCACCUUGUAUCUUAUACUUGCCCCUCCUAGAGGUUGAUUUGAAAAAAUAGGUUUUGUAAACGGUAUUGAGAGUCAUGUUUGGGGAUUCUCAUGUAUAUAUAUGUAUAUAUAUUUAUAUGCUCUGUCCGGUUUUAACUUUGCGAGCCGGGUCAAAAGCUUUGUUAUAUAUA